rnacentral:rRNA from 1 species
AGAGUUGAUCAGUGGCUCAGGACGAACGCUGGCGGCGUGCCUAACACAUGCAAGUCGGACGGGGAUUUGUUCGGCAGAAUCCUAGUGGCGAACGGGUGAGUAACGCGUAGGCAACCUGCCCGUCCGGCCGGGGGACAACGAACUCCGAAAGGGGUGCUAAUACCGGAUACGAAGUCUGUGCCGCAUGGUACGGAUUUGAAAGAUGGCCUCUAUUUAUAAGCUAUCGCCGGGGGAUGGGCCUGCGUCCGAUUAGCUGGUUGGUGGGGUAACGGCCUACCAAGGCGACGAUCGGUAGCCGGUCUGAGAGGAUGAACGGCCACAUUGGGACUGAGACACGGCCCAGACUCCUACGGGAGGCAGCAGUGGGGAAUCUUCCGCAAUGGGCGCAAGCCUGACGGAGCAACGCCGCGUGAAGUGAGGAAGUUCUUCGGAACGUAAAGCUCUGUUGUUCCUGACGAACCUCCCCUCUAUCAACAACGGAGGGGACUGACGGUAGGGAACGAGGAAGCCACGGCUAACUACGUGCCAGCAGCAGC